rnacentral:sRNA from 1 species
UAUGACCAAUAUUAUUCUAAUCGUGGUGGGACGGCGCAUGGGCAAGAUGGUGUAACCAUCUGGCGAAAGCUCCCAUGCGCGGUAAACAACAGGCUCCUAAAGGGAGCCUUUUUUAUUGCCUUUUG